UACAGAGGGUGCGAGCGUUAAUCGGAAUUACUGGGCGUAAAGCGUGCGUAGACGGCUAUCUAAGUCGGGUGUGAAAGCCCCGGGCUCAACCUGGGAAUUGCAUUCGAGACUGAAUAGCUAGGGUACGGUAGAGGGAAGUGGAAUUUCCGGUGUAGCGGUGAAAUGCGUAGAUAUCGGAAGGAACAUCAGUGGCGAAAGCGACUUCCUGGACCAGUACCGACGUUCAGGCACGAAA
rnacentral:rRNA from 1 species